rnacentral:rRNA from 1 species
GAUAAACGCUGGCGGCGUGCCUAAUGCAUGCAAGUCGCACGGAGUGCCUCUUCGGGGGCGCUGAGUGGCGAACGGGUGAGGAACGCGUGGAGAACCUACCCCGGCCGUGGGGAGUACCCGCCACGAAAUAGGUGGCGUAAUACCGCGUACGGUCCAGGGCGGAGAGGCCGAUCUGGAAGGAAGCAGUGAUGCGCGCUGGGAGGGGUCGUGCGCCCGACUUAG